GAUGAACGCUAGCGGCAGGCUUAAUACAUGCAAGUUGAGGGGCAGCAUGAUAUACGCGAGUAUAUUGAUGGCGACCGGCGGACGGGUGAGUAAUAGGUAGGAGACCUACCUCAUACAGGGGGAUAGCAUAGAGAAAUCUGUGGUAAUACCCCAUGAGGUUAUAUGAAUAGAGGCAUAUAAUCAAAGCAUAAGUGAUUAUGCGGUAUGAGAGGGGCCUACUGACCAUUAGCUAGUUGGUGAGGUAAGGGCUCACCAAGGCGAAGAUGGUUAGGGGUUUUGAGAGAGAGACCCCCCACAUUGGAACUGAGAGACGGUCCAGACUCCUACGGGAGGCAGCAGUAGGGAAUAUUGGGCAAGUGGGCGAAAGCCUGACCCAGCCAUGCCGCGUGAAGGAAGACGGCCUUAUGGUUGUAAACUUCUUUACUACGCGAAUAGAGGUUAGUACGAGAUACUAAUAAGGAAGGUAGUGUAAGUAAAAGCACCGGCUAACUCCGUGCC
rnacentral:rRNA from 1 species